ensembl:lncRNA
AAUAUAACAGCUACUGCUGUGAAGAGAGGCAAGAAGACCAGAAAAUCCGGUUUGCAAAAGUGUGGAGUCCCUCCAAAUGCAUCUUUCACAGUCAUGUAUAUCUGAAGACCACCUUCCCAGAGAAUGAGAGCGCUCUCUAGUGGUCACAACUAACUAAAGAACUACACUACAGCACUUUUGACAAGGUCAGUUUUUACUUGCUUUGUACAGUUUAUGUGCAUAUUAUGCAACUAUUUUGACCAGCUGUAUUUACUGAUUUAGUUUCAAACUGAAAUCGCAUUGGAAUAUUGAAAUAUAGCUCAUAGAAAUAUCUUGUUCAGGGUACCCUUACCAAAAAGAAGUAUACUUUGAGUUUAUUUUAUAAAGUAUACUUAAGUAAAGUUCAAGUAUAUUUUUAAGUAUACUUUAUGUAGCAAAUACAGAUAUCAGUGUUCUAGUAGUAUACUUGUAAGUGUACUAGUUCAAUACUUCUUGGGACUAAAUUGGCCCACUUUCUAGUAUAUAAAAGUAUAUAUUUUAAG